AGUGGAUAGUUAUAUAUUAAGUAAAAAAAGUUAUAUAUUUAAGUGGAUAUAUUCCAAUCUUUAUUAAAUCCAAUAAAUAAGAAAAACAACACCUACUAAGGUUUUCAUCCAUUUGGUUUAACCACAAACUAACAUUUCGAUUCACCUCCGGAUGAAAGGAGAGGAGUCAUAGGGUUUGAUGAUCCAAGUUCAUCUGCACCGUCCAAAUCCGUCUCUAUCUUCUUUUGUUUGGCCUGGCCCCACAUCACCAUAUAAAAUCCUCCAGCAACUAUCAUGGCUCCAAUGGCACUGCAAAAGUGUGAAGAAUGAAGACACAAAUUCAAGAGGGUUAAAUGCGAGAAAUUGCAACGUACUUCCGUCUAUUUGUUUAAUAUAUCAACCUAUUUUCAUUUCUUCCUAUCAACAUAACAUUGUCUUUAUAAUAAUAUAGCUAAACAUAGCAAUGAUAUAAUAGAAAGAAAUAAAAAAGUAUGAUGAUAUAAUAAACAAAUAAACGUAAUUAAGCAUGGUUUUAUUGUGUUACAUUUAGCCCAUUUCAAAAUUCAAACUUCAAGAACAAGCCUCGAUCGCAU
rnacentral:lncRNA from 1 species